rnacentral:rRNA from 1 species
GGCUUAGGUCUCGUUGGUGACCAGCGGAGGGAUCAUUACUGAGUUUACGCUCUAUAACCCUUUGUGAACAUACCUAUAACUGUUGCUUCGGCGGGUAGGGUCUCCGCGACCCUCCCGGCCUCCCGCCUCCGGGCGGGUCGGCGCCCGCCGGAGGAUAACCAAACUCUGAUUUAACGACGUUUCUUCUGAGUGGUACAAGCAAAUAAUCAAAACUUUUAACAACGGAUCUCUUGGUUCUGGCAUCGAUGAAGAACGCAGCGAAAUGCGAUAAGUAAUGUGAAUUGCAGAAUUCAGUGAAUCAUCGAAUCUUUGAACGCACAUUGCGCCCGCCAGCAUUCUGGCGGGCAUGCCUGUUCGAGCGUCAUUUCAACCCUCAAGCUCUGCUUGGUGUUGGGGCCCUACAGCUGAUGUAGGCCCUCAAAGGUAGUGGCGGACCCUCCCGGAGCCUCCUUUGCGUAGUAACUUUACGUCUCGCACUGGGAUCCGGAGGGACUCUUGCCGUAAAACCCCCCAAUUUUCCAAAGGUUGACCUCGGAUCAGGUAGGAAUACCCGCUGAACUUAAGCAUAUCAAA